GGGCACUUGGCACAGUUGGUAGCGCGCACGCUUCGCAUAAAGAUUGCGUGAGGUCGUGGGUUCAACUCCCACAGUGUCCA